rnacentral:rRNA from 1 species
UUUGAUCCUGGCUCAGGAUGAACGCUAGCGGCAGGCUUAACACAUGCAAGUCGAGGGGCAGCAUGAGGAGGCAGCAAUGCCACCUUGAUGGCGACCGGCGUAAGGGUGCGUAACGCGUGAGCAACCUGCCCGUCACAGGGGGAUAACCGCUGGAAACGGCGACUAAUACCCCAUGGUCCUCGGAGGAGGCAUCUCCUUUGGGGUAAAGAUGAGAGUCGGUGACGGAUGGGCUCGCGUGACAUUAGCUGGUCGGUAGGGUAACGGCCUACCGAGGCUACGAUGUCUAGGGGUUCUGAGAGGAAGGUCCCCCACACUGGAACUGAGACACGGUCCAGACUCCUACGGGAGGCAGCAGUGAGGAAUAUUGGUCAAUGGGCGGAAGCCUGAACCAGCCAUGCCGCGUGAAGGAAGAAGGUCCUAUGGAUUUUAAACUUCUUUUGCCGGAGAGCAAUAAGGGUCUCGAGAGAUCCGAUGAGAGUAACCGGCGAAUAAGCAUCGGCUAACUCCGUGCCAGCAGCCGCGGUAAUACGGGGGAUGCGAGCGUUAUCCGGAUUUAUUGGGUUUAAAGGGUGCGUAGGCGGUCUGGUAAGUCAGCCGUGAAAAGUCCCCGCUCAACGGGGGCCGUGCGGUUGAAACUGCUGGACUGGAAUGCGGAUGCCGUGGGAGGAAUGUGUGGUGUAGCGGUGAAAUGCAUAGAUAUCACACAGAACACCGAUUGCGAAGGCAUCUCACGAAUCCGCAAUUGACGCUGAGGCACGAAAGCGCGGGUAUCGAACAGGAUUAGAUACCCUGGUAGUCCGCGCUGUAAACGAUGAUGACUAACCGUCGGCGAUAGAAUGUCGGUGGCCAAGCGAAAGCGAUAAGUCAUCCACCUGGGGAGUACGGCCGCAAGGCUGCAACUCAAAUGAAUUGACGGA